GAUGAACGCUAGCGGCAGGCUUAAUACAUGCAAGUCGUGGGGCAGCAGGGGUAGCAAUACCCGCUGGCGACCGGCAAACGGGUGAGGAACAUGUACGCAACCUUCCUUUAACUGGAGGAUAGCCCCUCGAAAGAGGGGUUAAUACUCCGCAACAUAAUGAAGUGACAUCAUUUUAUUAUUAUAGCUCCGGCGGUUAAAGA
rnacentral:rRNA from 1 species